rnacentral:tRNA from 1 species
GGGAAUGUGGCUUAGUGGUAAAGUGCUUGCCUUGCAUGCAUAAAGCCUGGGUUCAAUCCCUUAGUACCA